GACGAACGCUGGCGGCGUGCUUAACACAUGCAAGUCGAACGGACGGGCCCUGCUUUUGUGGGGUGCUCGUUUGCCGAACGGGUGUGUAACACGUGAGUAACCCCUCCUUGACUUUCUGGUAACUUCACGAAACUCCGGCUAUUAUCCGAUAGAACCUCCUGCUCCAUGUGGGGGGUUGAAAAGUUUCGGCGGUGGGGGUUGGACUAGCUGGUUAUCAGCUUCUUGGGCGGGUAGUGGGUUACCAAGCGUUUGACGGGUACCCCGCCUGAGAGGGUGACCGGUCACACUAGGACUGAGGUAAGGACCAGACUGGUACGGGAGGCAACAGUGGGGAACAUUGCACAAUGGGGGGAAGCGUGAUGCAGAAACGCCGGGUGCGUGAUGACGGGCUUCGGGUUGUAAACCGCUUUCGCAUGUGACGAAGCCGGAGUGACGGUAAUGGGUAAAAAAGCACCGGCUAACUACGUG
rnacentral:rRNA from 1 species